UCCCCUUUUAUUGUGCAUGUUCCCUGCCGACAAUCAACCAUGAAAUCCUUUCAAUUCUCAAUUCUAAUAUUCUUUUCUUUUUAGUUCUUGGAAGUUUCUCUGAUUCUCUGUCUGUCACCCAUACUCCCAAAGUAUGGAAUAAAAAGAUGUAAGAUAGAAUCCCAAUGGGUCAACUUUCAUGACAACCUGUAAGUAUAAGCAUUUUUUGAUAUGAUAAAUCUGAUCUCAUAAAGGGAUUCCCUACAACAGUUUUGGUACGACUACCAAUUUUUACUAGUGGUAUUUUUAUGAAAUGAUAAACAUAUUGCUGAAUGCCCUGCUAGCUAAUAUAGAAAGACUGUUUUCAAAAGAUCCUCAGCUCAUCAGGAAGAAUACAGUUAGUGAAACUAGAUCGGCAAGUUGGGUGUUUCCAAAAAAAUGAUCAGCCUUAAGUUCUAGCUUAGAUCGAAGGGCUAUCGUCUUGCACGGUGAAAUGUUAAUUAUUUUUUUUUUUUUCGUUUUAAGGGGUUCCAAAUCUCAAGGAAAGUGGAAUACUAGUUUCUGUUCAUUAGUUGCCAGAACUAAAACUGUGACAAAUAUAGUGCUUAGCUGAAUUUUCACUAUUUCUCUUCAAUUUUGUCAAAAUUAACAGAAUUAGAAUUAUUAUAAUUAUAAUUUAUAAUUGACAGGUUAUUCAUGGUACUGGAAUUUAAAAUAACACAUCUACAGCUAAGUGUAGGUCAAUCAGCUCGUGUGAUAAGUCGUUUAGUUUUAAUGCGCAAUGAAUAAACGCAUAUUCGUCUUCGUUUAAAAGAUAGAAUAAUUCUAUCAAAUCUAUGUUAACGUUAAUCAAUCUACGCAUUAAAAAUAUUGAUCUAACAUAAUGACCACGCAACAACACUAAUUCUAAAGAAAAUAAGUUGUCGCUGCAAAUAUAUUCGGAUAAAGAAUUUGGAGUCGAAUCUCACAGAAAACUAAACCUUAGCUCUAACUAUCCAAUUUCACUAUAAAAAUAAGUUCCAACAAUUUUUCGAGUUAUAACGAGUAAGAUUUCUACUUUAAAUUAUCUAAUUAGAGAAUGUGUUGAAUCCCUGAAAAGACCUUAAGUUAUAAAUGUCUUUCCCAGGUAUCGAAAAUCCCUCUUGCUACAUAAAUGUUAGUAAUAUAUCGUCAUACACGAUUUGGUUAGCUCAUUAUCUUUUUUAGAUUGUUGUUAUAGCAGGUAACUUAUCGAUUAUUUUUAUAUUACUAGUUCCGAUUAUUUUUAAUUAACCUGAUAAUGAUAACGAUAAAAUUACUCUCCUUUUACACAUAGUUAGUUGAAGAGUUGGGAAAGUCCAAUUGAACUUUAAGGGGUCAUUUGGUACAAAGAGAAGUUAUUCAUGGAUUAACAAUACAGAAAUUAGUAAUGCAGAGAUUAGUAAUACAAGGAUUAUUUUUUAUCAAGUGUUUGGUUCAUUGUAUAAAAAAGUAGAUAUAUCAUGUAUUUUAAAACUCUUCUUUACAAUUAUAUCCUUAAAUUUUUAUGAAAUUUUCUACUUCAUUUAACUAGUCAAGUUGCUCACCCUUUGUGCGAUCUUAUAGAAAAGCUAAAAUAUGAAUAAUUAUUCUUACUCCGCUUAAUUGAUCAUUUAUUUCUUUUACAAAAAUUUUAAAUCUAUUUAAUCAAGAAAAAUUUAAAAUAACAAAUAAUUGUCAUAUUAUAGAGAAAUAAUUUUUAAAAAAUGUAAAGCACACUAUGUAAGAACAUCAUGGACUGUUGAUAAUGUAGUUUUAGAUUUUCAAAUUAUAUAUUUAUUUGAUAAUAAUCUUUUCUAUUUAAAUUAAUCCGUCUGUAAAUUGAACAAAUACAAAAUAGCAUAAAUGUAGUUCACAUUCGAAGCUAUCAAUCAACAUAAGGAAGUAAAUGAUAUUUAAACACUUGAUUCGCAUACGCAAAGUAAAAAAAGGUUGACAAAUUAAAUGUAACAUAACAACCAAAUUUGUAGUGAUUAAAUUUAAAAUGGAACUAAAAAAAAAAUUAAUAAAAAGAAUUGAUGGGUAACUGAGUCAUUUAAUUUUCUUAUUCAUAUAUUAUUAAGCCAUGGAUAAGUAAUCCCAUGGUUUCUUAGGUAUAAGCAAAUACACUCUAUGGUGUAUUAGCUAUUCAUGUAUUAGGUGAAAUUAGAUUUAAAUUGGACAACCAAACAUUGUACAUGUCUGAACUAAAUUUUAAUUCAUGAAUUAUUUUAUUUAAUACAGCAUACCAAACGAAUCCUAAGUGAUAAACGAAAUCAUAAAAUUUGAAACUCAAAUUAGAACAUUAUGGAUGAAAAAUUAAAUUAGGACGGUGAUUUACAAAAUAGAAUGCCCCUCAAGAGCGCCGUGCCUGCUGGAAAUUCCAUAUAAACUAAAGCUACUAAUACGUACCUGCACGGCUCAGUUAUUAUUACAGUAAAAAGUUGCAAGUCCCG
rnacentral:lncRNA from 1 species